CCCCUCUCAGGAUCACACCUGGAGAGUUUCCCAUAUUCUUCCAGUCUUGACUAUGGGAAGGAGAGUAAAGUAGAGGCAUACCCAUUCCUUUCCUAGCUUGGGAAGUGGCUAGGGAGUGGAAGGUAAUUUGCUACAAGA